rnacentral:rRNA from 1 species
UGCAGUCGACGGAGUUUUUUGGCAGAAGCCUUCGGGCAGACGCUGAUAUAACUUAGUGGCGAACGGGUGAGUAACACGUGAGUAACCUGCCCUUCAGAGGGGGACAACAGUUGGAAACGACUGCUAAUACCGCAUAAGACCACGGUGUGGCAUCACACAGAGGUCAAAGGAGAAAUCCGCUGAAGGAUGGGCUCGCGUCCAAUUAGCUAGAUGGUGAGGUAACGGCCCACCAUGGCGACGAUUGGUAGCCGGACUGAGAGGUUGAUCGGCCACAUUGGGACUGAGACACGGCCCAGACUCCUACGGGAGGCAGCAGUGGGGAAUAUUGCACAAUGGAGGAAACUCUGAUGCAGCGACGCCGCGUGAGGGAAGAAGGUCUUCGGAUUGUAAACCUCUGUUGUCAGGGACGAUAAUGACGGUACCUGACGAGGAAGCCACGGCUAACUACGUGCCAGCAGCCGCGGUAAAACGUAGGUGGCAAGCGUUGUCCGGAAUUACUGGGUGUAAAGGGAGCGCAGGCGGGAGAGCAAGUUGGAAGUGAAAUCUGUGGGCUCAACUCACAAAUUGCUUUCAAAACUGUUUUUCUUGAGUGGUGUAGAGGUAGGCGGAAUUCCCGGUGUAGCGGUGGAAU